rnacentral:rRNA from 1 species
GAUGAACGCUGGCGGCGUGCCUAAUACAUGCAAGUCGAGCGAACGGACGAGAAGCUUGCUUCUCUGAUGUUAGCGGCGGACGGGUGAGUAACACGUGGAUAACCUACCUAUAAGACUGGGAUAACUUCGGGAAACCGGAGCUAAUACCGGAUAAUAUUUUGAACCGCAUGGUUCAAAAGUGAAAGACGGUCUUGCUGUCACUUAUAGAUGGAUCCGCGCUGCAUUAGCUAGUUGGUAAGGUAACGGCUUACCAAGGCAACGAUGCAUAGCCGACCUGAGAGGGUGAUCGGCCACACUGGAACUGAGACAAGGUCCAGACUACUACGGGAGGCAGCAGUAGGGAAUCUUCCGCAAUGGGCGAAAGCCUGACGGAGCAACGCCGCGUGAGUGAUGAAGGUCUUCGGAUCGUAAAACUCUGUUAUUAGGGAAGAACAUAUGUGUAAGUAACUGUGCACAUCUUGACGGUACCUAAUCAGAAAGCCACGGCUAACUACGUG